rnacentral:rRNA from 1 species
GAAAGACGGUCUUGCUGUCACUUAUAGAUGGAUCCGCGCUGCAUUAGCUAGUUGGUAAGGUAACGGCUUACCAAGGCAACGAUGCAUAGCCGACCUGAGAGGGUGAUCGGCCACACUGGAACUGAGACACGGUCCAGACUCCUACGGGAGGCAGCAGUAGGGAAUCUUCCGCAAUGGGCGAAAGCCUGACGGAGCAACGCCGCGUGAGUGAUGAAGGUCUUCGGAUCGUAAAACUCUGUUAUUAGGGAAGAACAUAUGUGUAAGUAACUGUGCACAUCUUGACGGUACCUAAUCAGAAAGCCACGGCUAACUACGUGCCAGCAGCCGCGGUAAUACGUAGGUGGCAAGCGUUAUCCGGAAUUAUUGGGCGUAAAGCGCGCGUAGGCGGUUUUUUAAGUCUGAUGUGAAAGCCCACGGCUCAACCGUGGAGGGUCAUUGGAAACUGGAAAACUUGAGUGCAGAAGAGGAAAGUGGAAUUCCAUGUGUAGCGGUGAAAUGCGCAGAGAUAUGGAGGAACACCAGUGGCGAAGGCGACUUUCUGGUCUGUAACUGACGCUGAUGUGCGAAAGCGUGGGGAUCAAACAGGAUUAGAUACCCUGGUAGUCCACGCCGUAAACGAUGAGUGCUAAGUGUUAGGGGGUUUCCGCCCCUUAGUGCUGCAGCUAACGCAUUAAGCACUCCGCCUGGGGAGUACGACCGCAAGGUUGAAACUCAAAGGAAUUGACGGGGACCCGCACAAGCGGUGGAGCAUGUGGUUUAAUUCGAAGCAACGCGAAGAACCUUACCAAAUCUUGACAUCCUUUGACAACUCUAGAGAUAGAGCCUUCCCCUUCGGGGGACAAAGUGACAGGUGGUGCAUGGUUGUCGUCAGCUCGUGUCGUGAGAUGUUGGGUUAAGUCCCGCAACGAGCGCAACCCUUAAGCUUAGUUGCCAUCAUUAAGUUGGGCACUCUAAGUUGACUGCCGGUGACAAACCGGAGGAAGGUGGGGAUGACGUCAAAUCAUCAUGCCCCUUAUGAUUUGGGCUACACACGUGCUACAAUGGACAAUACAAAGGGCAGCGAAACCGCGAGGUCAAGCAAAUCCCAUAAAGUUGUUCUCAGUUCGGAUUGUAGUCUGCAACUCGACUACAUGAAGCUGGAAUCGCUAGUAAUCGUAGAUCAGCAUGCUACGGUGAAUACGUUCCCGGGUCUUGUACACACCGCCCGUCACACCACGAGAGUUUGUAACACCCGAAGCCGGUGGAGUAACCUUUUAGGAGCUAGCCGUCGAAGGUGGGACAAAUGAUUGGGGUGAAGUCGUAACAAGGUAGCCGUAUCGGAAGGUGCGGCUGGAUCACCUCCUUU